GACUGGAUAGCCUAGUGGAAAAGGCAUCACAUUGACAAUGCUGAGGUCCCAGGUUUGAAUCCUGGUCUAGUCA
rnacentral:tRNA from 1 species